rnacentral:ncRNA from 1 species
ACCACAAGGGGUGCAUAUUUGCUGAGAGUGAACAAUUAUUUGUUCUAACCCUUUGAACCUGUUAGAUAAUUCUAGCGUAGGAAUGUGGUAU